rnacentral:rRNA from 1 species
GAGUUUGAUCGUGGCUCAGAUUGAACGCUGGCGGCGUGCUUAACACAUGCAAGUCGAGCGGUAACAGGCGUAGCAAUACGUGCUGACGAGCGGCGAACGGGUGAGUAAUGCUUCGGAAUCUUCCUCGUAGUGGGGAAUAACCUGGGGAAACUCAGGCUAAUACCGCAUACGAACUACGGUUGAAAGCAGGGGAUCGCAAGACCUUGCGCUAUGAGAUGAGCCGAAGUCGGAUUAGCUAGUUGGUGAGGUAACGGCUCACCAAGGCGACGAUCCGUAGCUGGUCUGAGAGGACGACCAGCCACACUGGGGCUGAGACACGGCCCAGACUCCUACGGGAGGCAGCAGUGGGGAAUAUUGGACAAUGGGGGCAACCCUGAUCCAGCGACGCCGCGUGUGUGAAGAAGGCCUGCGGGUUGUAAAGCACUUUUAGUGGGGAUGAAAAGCCGAAGGCUAAUACCUUUCGGUCUUGACCUAACCCAAAGAAAAAGCACCGGCUAACUCUGUGCCAGCCGCCGCGGUAAG